rnacentral:rRNA from 1 species
AAUAGAUACCCGGGUAGUCCACGCCCUAAACGAUGUCGACUGGUUGUUGGGGGUUUGAUACUCUCAGUAACGAAGCUAACGCGUGAAGUCGACCGCCUGGGGAGUACGGCCGCAAGGUUAAAACUCAAAGGAAUUGACGGGGACCCGCACAAGCGGUGGAUUAUGUGGAUUAAUUCGAUGCAACGCGAAAAACCUUACCUACCCUUGACAUGUCCUGAAUCCCGGUGAGAGCUGGGAGUGCCCGAAAGGGAACGGGAACACAGGUGCUGCAUGGCUGUCGUCAGCUCGUGUCGUGAGAUGUUGGGUUAAGUCCCGCAACGAGCGCAACCCUUGUCAUUAGUUGCUACAUUCAGUUGGGCACUCUAAUGAGACUGCCGGUGACAAACCGGAGGAAGGUGGGGAUGACGUCAAGUCCUCAUGGCCCUUAUGGGUAGGGCUUCACACGUAAUACAAUGGCGCGUACAGAGGGUUGCCAAGCCGCGAGGUGGAGCCAAUCCCACAAAGCGCGUCGUAGUCCGGAUUGGAGUCUGCAACUCGACUCC